GCCUUUGUGGCUCAAUGAUUGAGCAUUUGGCUGCUAACCGAAAGGCUGGUGUUUCGAACCCACCUAGCGGCU
rnacentral:tRNA from 1 species